rnacentral:tRNA from 1 species
GCUCCGGUAGCCCAAUUUGGCAGAGGCGACAGGCUUAGACCCUGGAGGUUGUGGGUUCGAAUCCCUCUCGGAGUA